AGAGUUUGAUCCUGGCUCAGAAUCAACGCUGGCGGCGUGCCUAACACAUGCAAGUCGCACGAGAAAGGGGAGCAAUCCCUGAGUAAAGUGGCGCACGGGUGAGUAACACGUGAAUGAUCUACCUCCGAGUGGGGAAUAACCGAGAGAAAUCUUAGCUAAUACCGCAUAACACUUACGAGUCAAAGCAGCAAUGCGCUUGGAGAGGAGUUCGCGGCCGAUUAGCUAGUUGGCGGGGUAAUGGCCCACCAAGGCGAUGAUCGGUAUCCGGCCUGAGAGGGCGCACGGACACACUGGAACUGAAACACGGUCCAGACUCCUACGGGAGGCAGCAGUGGGGAAUUUUGCGCAAUGGGGGAAACCCUGACGCAGCAACGCCGCGUGGAGGAUGAAGUAUCUUGGUACGUAAACUCCUUUCGAUGGGGAAGA
rnacentral:rRNA from 1 species